UGGCUCUCGCAUCGAUGAAGAACGCAGCGAAUUGCGAUAAGUAAUGUGAAUUGCAGAUUUUCAGUGAAUCAUCGAAUCUUUGAACGCACCUUGCGCUCCUUGGUAUUCCGAGGAGCAUGCCUGUUUGAGUGUCAUCUAAUUCUCAACGAUGCUUUGGAUUGAUUUUCGAGGCAUGGGUUGGAUUUGGGGGCUGCUGGGUGACCCUUGAUUGGGACGUCGGCUCUCCUUAAAUGCAUUAGCAAAGGCGAGCCUGUUGCACGUAUGGCCUUUUGGCGUGAUAAUGAUCGUCAUGGGCUAGAGUGUGUCGGGCAUGAAUUCGUCAGUGCUUAUAAUAUGACCAUUUUUUAAGACUUGACCUCAAAUCAGGUAGGACUACCCGCUGA
rnacentral:misc_RNA from 1 species